rnacentral:pre_miRNA from 1 species
UUUAUACUCACUCCGUCCGGAAUUACUUGUCAUCAAAAUGAAUGAAAAUGAAUGUAUCUAGAACUAAAAUACAUCUAGAUACAUCUAUUUCAAUGACCAGUAUUUCCGGACGGAGGGAGUACGUG